UUUGAUAGGUUAGAUUUGCACUUAUUGAAAAAUAAUCUAUAUCAGUGGAACAUUUUUCAACCAAUAAGAAUAAGGCAUUUAACAACCCAGUGAUAUAAACUAUUUUAAUUCAUGUAGUUUUUGGCGCUGAAAGAUCUUCAUAUUUUUUUUUGCUUGCUGAUUUGGUGAAUUGAUAGUUGAUCACAAAGUUUCCCACAGACAUAUCAGUUAAAUUUGGAUAAAUAGAGGAUGUCUGAAUGUCAGAAGCCACACCCACAUUUACACACAUUAUAACUUUACAAUCUGCCCACCUUAUUCAUACAAUUCAGUGACAUUUCUGUAAUUCAAAAAGUCUGCUUUAAUGUUGGUUUACUUCAUUAGCAAUGUUUCUCACUAUAGACAGAUGUAUGCUGCUGAUUCUUAUAACAGUAUCAGGUGCAUUUGCUGACAGCAUUGAACCAAAAGACAAGAGUACAAAUAUAAUCAAGGCUGAAGGAGAAUCUGUGACACUGAGCUGCAUAUAUGAUACAACCAACAAUUAUGUUUGGCUUUACUGGUACAGACAGUAUCCUAACAGUGAACCUCAGUAUUUACUGCAUAAAGGAGCUCGAUCAAGUAGUGGUGAGAAUAUAGCAGACCGUCGGUUUAAGUCGACAACAUCAGAUUCAUCCACUGAACUCAUUAUUGACAGUGUAACUCUGUCAGAUUCAGCUUUAUAUUUCUGUGCACUGGAGCACAGUGAUACAAAAUACCUGAGAGGCUUUACAAAAACAUAAACUAAAUUAUUGCUUUGAACAGUUUUUAAUCAAGUGAAUAUCAAACCACAGUUGUUCUUUAUGUAAACCACAAAGCUUCAGUAUAUGACAGGAUACAGUAACACCUGCUUUAACCCACAUUAAUAAAAUUAAAGGAUAAAAUGUUUUAGUACUGAACUCAGUGUGUGUGAUUUAUAAAUUAUAAUAAAUUUAUGAAUGGUUUCUCAUCUUAAGU